CCCUAACUCUAAAAUCUGUUCCUCAUACUCCCCCAACAUCCUAUCUUCGAAAGUAGCCUCGUCGGAGUCCUCCAUGGGCUCGUCCACCAUACGCUCCUCCAUAGGCUCCUCCUCAGGAUCAGACUCCUAGGGUAUUGGCUCCAUCUCCUCUUCCUCAUCAUCAUCAUCAUCAUCGAUAGGGACUACAGUUGAUGUAGGUUCUGCUAUCA
rnacentral:lncRNA from 1 species